UGGAGAGAAUAGAAACAAUAGAGGAUAUUAGUAUUUUAUAGUUAGAGGUGAAAUUCUAUGAUUUAUGAAAGACUAACAGGGGCGAAAGCAUUUAUCUCUUGUAUGUUUAUUGAUAAAGAACGAAAGUUAGGGGAUCGAAGAUGAUUAGAUACCGUCGUAGUCCUAGACUAUAAACAAUACUAACUAUGGAUUUGGGGGGCCAACAAUGUAUUCUAUUACAUUGAAAGGGCGCGUGAGGACAUUGCGAGAAAUCAUUGAGUAUUUGAGUUCCGGGGGGAGUAUGGUUGCAAGACUGAAACUUAAAGGAAUUGACGGAGGGGCACCACAAGGCGUGGA
rnacentral:rRNA from 1 species